rnacentral:tRNA from 1 species
GGGGCCGUAGCUCAGCGGGAGAGCGCCUGCUUUGCAAGCAGGGGGUCGUCGGUUCGACUCCGACCGGCUCCA